ensembl:lncRNA
CCGCCCUGCGCAGCCUCCUGCUCCUCAGCAGCGCCGCCCCGCAGCCCGCUGCACCGACGCAAAGCGCCGCCAGGGGGAGCCCGAGAGCCAAGCCCACUUUGCUCAGCCUGGAGCUGCACGACGAGUCCAGUCACGUGAUAUCCCCCCCCCACUCACACGUGACGUCGCUGCAUUGACUGCAAUUGGCGGCGGUGGCCUGCAGGAGGUCCUCCACGCGGUCCUCCACGACGGCGGCGGCGCCAAUCCCCGCCCCGACCCGAAGGAGGACUUCGUACGUCACCACGACGCUGCCCUCUCUAUAGGGCCGACCCCAUACCGUCGUUGACCUCCACGCUCUCCUUGGCGUACUGACACUCGACCCCAUAAAAUAAUGGGGUGCAGUGACAAAUCCCAUUGAUGUGCACCCCGUUAUUAUGGCACAGCCCUGGGGAGGGGGAGGGGUGGGAAAUAGGGUCGGGAUGGCGGCCCUAUAACCCCAGAGUUCGGGGUUUUUUUGUUUUAUAGGGUCAGGGGAUCGGGGAAGGAACCCACCUUGCUUUGGGGUGGUGGUGGGAUUUGGGGUGGUUAUGGGGUUUGGGGUUUUUGGGGUCGUGGUGGGAAGAUCGGUGUCCCCGGAACCGCUGAUGUCCCCCGAAAGAUUGGGAUCCCCCAAAAGAUUGGGAUCCCCCAAAAGCCCCGCGACCCCAAAAUGCGCCGCCGUGACAAUGGGGUAAACCUUGGCCAAUGGGUUGACCCCAAUGGGGUGGGUGUGGUUGACCCCAAUCCUAAUAGGGUCAGUGGGGUCGACCCCGACCCUUAUGGGGUCAGCGUUGGCCAACGGGCCAGCCCUGACCCUAAUGGGGUCAGUGGGGUCAACCCCGACCCUUAUAGGGUCAACGUUGGCCAACGGGCCAGCCCUGACCCUAAUGGGGUCAAUGGGGUCAACCCCAACUCUUAUGGGGUCAACGUUGGCCAACGGGCUAGCUCUGGCCCUAAUAGGGUCAGUGGGGUCAACCCCAACCCUAAUGGGGUCAAUGGGGUCAACCCCGACCCUAAUGGGGUCAGUGGGGUCAACCCCAACCCUUAUAGGGUCAAUGGGGUCGACCCCAACCCUUAUGGGGUCAACGUUGGCCAACGGGUCAACUUUGACCCCAGUGGGACCAGUGGGAUCAACCCCGACCCUUAUAGGGUCAGCGGGGCCAACCCUGACCCUAAUAGGAUCAAUAGGGUCAACCCCAACGGGGCCGGCGUUCCUUUUGCCCUUUUUCUUCCCUUUUGACCCCAAAUCCACGGGGAGGAAUUCGAAGUUCAGCUCUUCGUCCCCAUUGUCGUCUUUUAGGGUCGGGAACGAGUCCAGCUUAUGGGGUGACGGAGAGUCGGCGUUUAUGGGGUCGGACGUCGCCUUUAUGGGGUCGUCGCUGUUGUGGGGUGGAGCGAAGCCGCGGGAGGACAGAAACAAUGGGGCGGCGAUGUCGGAUAUGGGGUCGUCGGAUAUGGGGUCGUCGGUGUCAGGAUCCCAAAUUCGGGGGAGGCCGCGCGGAUCGGGAGCGGCUGUAGGGGGGAAAAUCCCAUAA